rnacentral:rRNA from 1 species
AUUGAACGCUGGCGGCAGGCCUAACACAUGCAAGUCGAGCGGAUGAAGGGAGCUUGCUCCUGGAUUCAACGGCGGACGGGUGAGUAAUGCCUAGGAAUCUGCCUGGUAGUGGGGGAUAACGUCCGGAAACGGGCGCUAAUACCGCGUACGUCCUGAGGGAGAAAGUGGGGGAUCUUCGGACCUCACGCUAUCAGAUGAGCCUAGGUCGGAUUAGCUAGUUGGUGGGGUAAAGGCCUACCAAGGCGACGAUCCGUAACUGGUCUGAGAGGAUGAUCAGUCACACUGGAACUGAGACACGGUCCAGACUCCUACGGGAGGCAGCAGUGGGGAAUAUUGGACAAUGGGCGAAAGCCUGAUCCAGCCAUGCCGCGUGUGUGAAGAAGGUCUUCGGAUUGUAAAGCACUUUAAGUUGGGAGGAAGGGCAGUAAGUUAAUACCUUGCUGUUUUGACGUUACCAACAGAAUAAGCACCGGCUAACUUCGUG